CCUACGGGGGGCAGCAGUGAGGAAUAUUGGUCAAUGGGCGGGAGCCUGAACCAGCCAAGCCGCGUGAAGGAAGAAGGCGCCAAGCGUCGUAAACUUCUUUUGUCGGGGAACAAAGGGCGCCACGUGUGGCGUUGUGAGUGUACCCGAAGAAAAAGCAUCGGCUAACUCCGUGCCAGCAGCCGCGGUAAUACGGAGGAUGCGAGCGUUAUCCGGAUUUAUUGGGUUUAAAGGGUGCGUAGGCGGUCCGGAAAGUCAGCGGUAAAAGCCCGGGGCUCAACCCCGGCGAGCCGUUGAAACUGUCGGACUAGAGACGGCGAGAAGUACGCGGAAUGCGCGGUGUAGCGGUGAAAUGCAUAGAUAUCACACAGAACACCGAUUGCGAAGGCAGCUUUCCAAGCUAUUACUGACGCUGAGGCACGAAAGCGUGGGGAGCGAACAGGAUUAGAUACCCCAGUAGUC
rnacentral:rRNA from 1 species